rnacentral:rRNA from 1 species
AGAGUUUGAUCCUGGCUCAGGAUGAACGCUGGCGGUGUGCUUAAUACAUGCAAGUCGAACGAGGCCCUUUUAUCUUCGGACGAAAGGUGUCCUAGUGGCGGACGGGUGAGUAACGCGUUGGUGACCUGCCCCGAAGUGUGGGACAACAGUUCGAAAGGACUGCUAAUACCACAUGUGAUCUAGUUUAUUAGAAGAAUUAGAUUAAAGGAUUUAUUCGCUUCGGGAGGGGCCUGCGUCCCAUCAGCUAGUUGGUAAGGUAACGGCUUACCAAGGCAGUGACGGGUAGGGGACCUGAGAGGGUGACCCCCCACAAUGGAACUGAAACACGGUCCAUACACCUACGGGUGGCAGCAGUAGGGAAUAUUGGUAAUGGGCGAAAGCCUGAACCAGCAACACCGCGUGUGCGAUGAAGGCCUUCGGGUCGUAAAGCACUUUUUAUGGGGAUGACAAUGACAGUACCCAUAGAAUAAGUCUCGGCUAACUACGUGCCAGCAGCCGCGGUAAAACGUAGGAGGCAAGCGUUAUUCGGAUUUACUGGGCGUAAAGCGCGUGCAGGCGGAUUGGUAAGUUGGAUGUGAAAGCUCCUGGCUCAACUGGGAGAUGUCGUUCAAAACUGCCAGUCUAGAGUAUGGAAGAGGGAGGUGGAAUUCCGGGUGUAGUGGUGAAAUGCGUAGAUAUCCGGAGGAACACCAGUGGCGAAGGCGGCCUCCUGGUCCAUAACUGACGCUAAGACGCGAAAGCUAGGGUAGCAAACGGGAUUAGAGACCCCGGUAGUCCUAGCCGUAAACGAUGUAGACUUGGCGUUGGUGGUGUAAAAACCAUCAGUGCCGAAGCUAACGCGAUAAGUCUACCGCCUGGGGACUACGGUCGCAAGAUUAAAACUCAAAGGAAUUGACGGGGACCCGCACAAGCAGCGUAGCGUGUGGUUUAAUUCGACGAUACGCGAAGAACCUUACCAGGGCUUGACAUAUAAGUGGUAGAGAAGCGAAAGCGGAUCGACCCUUCGGGGAGCUUAUACAGGUGCUGCAUGGCUGUCGUCAGCUCGUGUCGUGAGAUGUUCGGUUAAGUCCGCUAACGAGCGCAACCCUCGUCGUGUGUUACAAGUGUCACGCGAGACCGCCGGUCAUAAACCGGAGGAAGGUGAGGAUGACGUCAAGUCAGCAUGGCCUUUAUGUCCUGGGCUACACACACGCUACAAUGGCAGGUACAAUAGGUCGCGAAACUGCGAAGUGGAGCCAAUCCCAAAAGCCUGCCUCAGUUCAGAUUGUAGGCUGCAACUCGCCUGCAUGAAGAUGGAGUUGCUAGUAACCGCAGGUCAGCAACACUGCGGUGAAUACGUUCCCGGGUCUUGUACACACCGCCCGUCACGUCAUGGGAGUUGGCAACACCUGAAGUCGGUAUUCUAACCCGCAAGGGAGGGAGCCGCCAAAGGUGGGGUUGAUGACUGGGACGAAGUCGGGACAAGGUA